rnacentral:precursor_RNA from 14 species
GCAGCCAUAUCUUGUCUGUUGCCACGGUAACCUGGUUUCACUUGGUGCAUAGAGUCUUGCUGUCAAUCUCUAGCACCAUAUGAAAUCAGUUUCCUUUGGUAUCAUGUCCAUCACUAAUUCAU